rnacentral:rRNA from 1 species
AUGUCAUCCGCCGCUAUGUCCAUCGCCCAAACUAGCGGCGCGAUCGUCUCUUCUCCUGUCGCCUUGAUCCCCGCCGCGCUCGCCGUCCUGACGAUCUCCGUCCACCUCGGUCGCCACAACUUCAUGCUCUGGGGAGGCAUCACCAGCACCGUUCUUGCCGGUGCCAACCUCCAUGGACACCUCGAUGGCACCAAGGCGGCACCGGCCAAAACACUCGUUGUUGGUACCGGCGACGCUGCUACCACCGUCACCAACCCGGAGUACCACCAAUGGUGGGUUCAAGAUCAGCGCGUCAAGGGGCUUCUUCUCACCUCCAUGGAUGAGGAUAUUGCAUGCCAACUUAUUGGCUGCGAGUCGGCGCAUACGGUAUGGACAGCCGUCGCCGCCAUGUUCGGCGCCCAGAGCCGCGCCAAUGUCCGCCACAUCCGGCGGCAACUUCAGUCGCUGAGGAAGGAUGAUCUGUCUGCCGCGGAAUACAUGCACAAGAUGAAGGCCCUGGCCGACACUAUGGCCGCCGCCGGCUCUCCGAUCCGGGAUGAUGAGCUUAUCGAUCACAUCCUCACUGGCCUCGGCUCCGCCUACAACUCCAUAGCCGCCUCCUUGGGCGUGAGUAAUGCACCCAUGCCCUACUCCAGUUUUUACUCAUUGGUUCUGUCCUUCGAGGCGCUGCAGGCACAACAGAGUGCAGUGGAGGGGUGGUCUCCCUCCGCGAACGCCGUGACCCGUUCGGGUUCGUACGGCGCGGGCGGACGCGCACCCUACUCCGAUCCCUAUCCCUCCCAUGGUGGGGGCGCCCGGCUGAUGGACAUGGCCAGCCAGGGCAGAACCGCCAGGGCGGUAAUGGCGGCAACACCGGCGGCCGUGACCGCAAUACUGGUUAUGCCAGCAAUGGCCGGCAAGGUGGAGGAGGCAACGCCGGCAACAACAACGGCGGAGGAGGUGGGCGUCGCAACCGCUGGCGUCCCCGGUGCCAAAUUUGCAAGAACUGGGGCCAUGAAGCCGACGACUGUCGCAAGCGCUAUGAUCAGGAUCACAACUCCCGCUCCGCCAACUCGGCCUCUACCAACACCGUCGACUUUCCUUGGGUGUUGGAUACCGGGGCUACGGAUCACUUGA